rnacentral:rRNA from 2 species
GAGUUUGAUCCUGGUUCAGAACAAACGCUGGCGGCGUGUCUUAAGCAUGCAAGUCGAGCGGCAAGGGCAGCAAUGCCCCUAGAGCGGCGGACUGGUGAGUAACGCGUGGGUGAUCUACCUUGGGCAUGGGGAUAGCCAUUAGAAAUAGUGGGUAAUACCGAAUACGUUCGUCACCGUGAGGGUGACGAGGAAAGGCGCUACGGCGCCGGCCUGGAGAUGAGCUUGCGUCCGAUUAGCUAGUUGGUGAGGUAAAGGCCCACCAAGGCGAUGAUCGGUAGCCGGCCUGAGAGGGUGUACGGCCACACUGGGACUGAGAUACGGCCCAGACUCCUACGGGAGGCAGCAGCUAAGAAUAUUCCGCAAUGGACGAAAGUCUGACGGAGCGACGCCGCGUGGAUGAUGAAGGCCGAAAGGUUGUAAAGUCCUUUUGCUGGGGAAGAAUAAGCGUGGGAGGGAAUGCCCGCGUGAUGACAUGAACCGGCGAAUAAGCCCCGGCUAACUACGUGCCAGCAGCCGCGGUAACAC